ensembl:lncRNA
AGCAAGUGGUGCUGCACUCACAGCUUGGAGAGGGCACGCUUGUGCAGGAUGCAGACACAUUUGUGAGCACACAGCAUAUUAGCCAAUACGAACCAUCCACACUUCCCCAGCCAGCAUAUGACCAGCCAGCCCUGACACAAGGUUUCUCUAUCUCUGAAGGUUUUAGCCAGCAACCUCCACUCUCCACUGUACAGCAGCUGCAAGAUUCCAGCACACUGGAGUCUCAAGCUCUCACCUCCACC